UCUGAAGUCCUUUUAUAGUGCUAGGCAAUACUACCUAUUACCAUAUAAGCCACAACUGGAAAGAUGCACACGCUUUCACAUGGGUCUUCACGCCAUGGCACACAUUAGCCGGCAGUGUUUCUGAGUGGUGUAGAAAAUAGUUGUGCAUCCCAGACACAAUGAAAUAUGGUUAUUUUGCUAAUAUCCUGUUUCUGGCAAUUAAACUACUGUGUCUGCUUUGGGAAAUCACGAGGGUGGGCAUGUGCCCCAUCUGCUUAUGCAGAGGGUGGAGGACCAGGCAGAAUCAGGAGAUCUGAGCUGGCCUCCCUCUGCACCCCACCCCAGGCACCUGCCUCCUCUCCAGCUUAUCUCCCCCAUCCCCUUCCCAGGUUGCCAUUGACAACCUGCCAUUCUCAGAGCACGCUUCUGAGCUGCCGAGCCUUCGCACCUGCUGGCUCCUCCACCUGAAUGCCCUUCUCUCUAUCCUCUUCCUGGAAACCCCAGCUGCCUCAGGAUAUGGUUCAGUCAUCACCUCCUUCAUCCAGCCUUCUCUACCUCUUUGUCUUAACAUUGAAAUGGCCAGCGUGUUCUUCUACCUGCCUGCCAGACAUGCAGGCCCAAGGUACCAGGAGGCAGAUGCUGACAGAUGCAUCUCAGUAUGCCCGGCACCUCCACCACACAAGGGCUGUGCUGGUUGCUGUGGGAAUGCUGCAGGGCACAAAACGGAUAAUGCUGGAGGGAGAAGACAGCAAACACAAGACUCAAGAAACUCCAGUAUGUAAGAAGAGGAUAUGCACAAUGGAAGAGGGAAGCCGCCGUGCAGAGUGUCGGGGUGCACUUUUAAAUGGGACAGUCAAGGUAAGCCUCACUGCAAAGGUGACCUCUGAGCAGAGGUCUGAGGGAGGUGAGGAAUGAGAAGAGUGAACAGCCAGUAUGAAGAUCCAAGGUGGGAGUAUGCCCCUGGUGUGUUCAAGGAAAGCACCAAGGGCUCAUCCUGGCAGCUAUGUAGAGCAUUACUAUAGGGGUCAAGUACCGCAGCAGGGACAGCAAUUAGUAGGCUACUGCAAGAGUCCAGGUAUUUGAAGUGAAAGAAAGAG